UAGCUAUUCAAAUUCAAACUUUAUCAGAUGUAUCACAGUAGGAAGUCUAUCAUCAUAUAUAUCUUUCUAUUUGCAAGAGGUGCUAUAUCUUGAAUGAGUGCGAAAAAGACCUUUUCACUAUAUCCAUUAUGGAAGCAGAGCAUAUAGACAAUUAUGAGACUUCCUCAUAAGCCAUCUAGUUAUAGAAUUUUAUCAUAAAACUUAGAGUUAUGAAUUCUAUUAGC
rnacentral:lncRNA from 1 species